UACGUAGGGGGCGAGCGUUACUCGGAAUCACUAGGCGUAAAGCGCAGGUAGGAGGUUUGGUAAGUCUAUUGUGAAAGCUCCCGGCUUAACUGGGAGAGGUCAAUGGAAACUACCAGGCUGGAGUGCGGUAGAGGUAGCUGGAAUUCCCGGUGUAGCGGUGAAAUGCGUAGAUAUCGGGAGGAAUACCUAUGGCGAAAGCAGGCUACUGGACCGUCACUGACUCUGAUCUGCGAAAGCUAGGGGAGCAAACAGG
rnacentral:rRNA from 1 species